GGUACAUUUUUUUUCUACUGUGUAUUGAAUACAUUCAUUUACUCUUCCAUCUCUGGACAUUCCAGUAUAUGAGAUAAAGCAAGAUCCAGUUAUAUGGGCACAUUGAAAAAUAAUAUAAGGAAAAGAAAGGAACAUUCAAUUUUUCUUCAUCACAAAAUGAGCAACGUUGAAAGGGCAGAAAGCAGAGUGUCUCAGAGUUCCUGAAUCCUGUCCCAAGCAUUUGAAGCUGCUGUGCUACAUAGGGACAAGUUGUGUUCAUCGUAAAGAGCCUGACCCUGAGGAUCAGAAAAGCCUAGCAGACUCUUCCAUGAAGCAGGAACCCCAAAGGACCUUCUCAAGUUUAGGCAAGUUCAGCAGUCAUUUCUCUGUGGGUCCUACAUUCCAGUUAAGCAGUUCAGACACAUGAACUCAUCAACCUGCGGAAGAUGAUCUCAGACUCAGGCACUGAGGAGGUCCUUCUUUGCCUACUCCUGAGAAGGUUUUGAUGAAGUCACACACCACACACCUAGCUAGUUUUAUUGUAAUUUGUGGUGCUUUUUGCCUUUUAUUUUUCAUUAUUUGUUGCUCCUCUGUAAAACUCAACUGAAUUUCUUUAUCUCAACACAUUAGCAUGUUUCCUGACCAUAUUUUUAAUCUAUAUAUGUUAUGCAUGUGUUAUUAUUUCUGUAGAGAUCACACUAUUUUAUUUCCACCUAGAAAUAGUUAAUAUUUCUUCUAUAGAAACACCUACUGUUCAUUUUCUCCACUAAUUUUUCUGCAAAUAUUCAGUGAAGUGGCAUCUACUUAUCUUUUCCUUUCUAACUUUUGGGAAAGUAGUGAAACUUUUAGGAUUCUAGGUAUUAGCUUUCAUUUAAACUCAUGAAAUUUCACAGAUGAGGUAGAAUAUGACUGGAGGUUUACAUAGAAUAGAAAGUCAUAUGAAUAAUGAUAACACAAAUGAACAUAGUAAAUUGAAAAAGAAGAGCCCAGAAUGACUAAAAUCUACACAAAUCACUGUAUGCUACUGAGGAAAUCUAGAAAAGGGAUAUGUCAUUCUUAUGGAAGAGCACAAAAUUUUAUUAUUUAGUACCAAAAGGCCUGCUUUGAAAACAUAAUGCAGGUUAUUAUUAACAGAGUUAUCAGGUUAUAUUUAAGAAUGAAUCUGCAUUGUAUACAUAUAUGCACCCAGCAACAAUUACAGAAAACUGAGGGCACAAAUUUGAAGGAGAAUGUAUAGAGGUAUAUAGGAGGGUUUGAAAGAGCAAAGAAAAGGGAGAAAUGUUGUAAUUAAAUUAUAGUCUCACAAAUAAAAAAUGGAAUAGCCUAUUAUAUACACAGACAUGCACACACACAUGCAUGAGUACAUAUGCACACACAUUUGUGCACAAACAUAUGGAUGCCCACAAACACACAUUCAGACACAAAAAGAGAAGACAAAGUUCUCAAAAUUAGCACACAAUAGUUUGACUCGGAAUAGGAGAGGAUUUUUCAGUUAGGUUAUGGAUGGUGGCUGUUUACAAAUAUAAUAUUUAUGUAUUUAUAGUGAGUAAAAUAUUUUUAAGAAAUGAAGUCACCAGGGAAACUGUAGUAGAGUUUAUAUUCUGUAUGUUACCAACAUGCACACAUGCCUUCACAUCUGAUACCACACUGAAUGUUCAUACACACAUAUGUACAGACACAGUACAAUACGUGUAUGCACAUGGGCAUAUACACAAAGAAGAAAUUUAUCAAAGUUAACAUAGAUAGUGAUUGUAAGGAUGGGUGGAUUUUAGAUUAUAUUAUAGAGGUUGGAAUUUUACAAACACACAAGAUUUUAAUCUUUCGAUUAUAUAAGUUAUUUUCCCAGAAAUGAAGGCACCAGACAAACGUUAGCAGAGUUUAUUCUCUGGAGGUCACCUACAUGAACACAUAUGUGCCUUCUCCACAUGAAAACUGCUCUGCAUACAUAUACACACAAACACACACAGAGCAAGUGUGUAUGAGAGAGAUAGGUUAAAUACAUAUUGAAUUUGACAGUUUGCUUUUUCUAAAACACCUCUUAAAUUAAUUUUUUCCAUUAUGGCUGUUGCGGACAUUCCAUUCUCAUUGGUUAUUUUGACCAACUGGGGCUCAACAGCACCAUUCAUAUCUUUAUUGCAAGCGCUAUUGUUAUGGCACUGUAAUAUUCAUAAAGUUCUAAUCCAGGGUGAUGGCUUGUGCAUAUAAUCAAGACACUUGGGGGAAACUUGCACAGGCACAGUGCAGAGGGUCAGCACCCAUCAGAAUGAACCAGUACAAAGUGGACGAUUCCUGGUCAAUAGCCAGUUUCUAGGUCCAAGCAGCCUGAUAUGCUCAGCCUUUAGGUGAAAAUAGCUUGUUUUCUCUGUCCUCAACGAUAGUCAGAGCCCAGGUUAAAUGACUUUUUCUCCUGACUUUGUCCUGUCAGUUUCCCUGCUUCUGCUGCAACAGAUAGGAGGACGAGAAAGAAACAACAUAGCCGCCUUUGCUGGGAAGCUCCCAAGUUACAACAGGCUUUCAUUUCUGUACCUAGGAUUGAGCACUCCCCCUUUCUCCAGUGAAUGUUCCAUAUCCAUUCUGUAUUUGAUUGUACACACUCAGUCAGUCACAGGCAAACUUCACACAGGGCUUUUGCCAGUCAGACUCCAGACUGCAGUACACCUCUCAGCUGGUUUCAGGUUCUAGUCAGGUCUUCCCUACAACCUACCUACAAGUGAAGGAGAGCUGCUUCUGAGACCUGAAAGGAGACACAACCAGUGGCAAUGCAGUAGGAGUGAUUGUUUAGAGUUGUAAUCAUCAUUUCGCAUCUAACAUGAAGCAAUCAACAGUUGCUUUCACCUGUCACUUAAGUGAGUCAGUGGCCAAGAUUCAGUAGUGUCAGCAGUUGUCUCUGGGAAUGACUGCCUACCUUUUUAUCCAAGGACCAGACAAGAAUGCGAUGAACAACAAAUGCCAUCUUUAAAGUACAUAUUGUUUCUACUUUGUGUCAGAUGCAUUUGGUUACUCUUCCCUGUCUGGACACUCCAGUAUUUGAGAUGAAGCAAGCACGAAUGCUGGUACUCCAGGGAUAUACUUACCGCACCUCCUGUCUUCCUUAUAGCAGAAGAUUGACCAAUAGCCAAAUAAGGUAAUUCAACAUGAAAGAUCAUGAACUGUAUCUGAGGAACAACCAUGUGUACUUAGCAUGUGAGUCUGCCCUGCUGUGCCUUCAUACUGAUAUCAGCUUUGGAAGAGACCCACAACUGCAAUCCUGCGCAGAGAACCUGAUCUCACAAGAUUGCUCAUGAUAAUCUCAGACUCAAGCAUGCAGGAAGUGCUUCUCCCCAACUUCUCAGAAGGUUUCACUGAAGACACUCACCACACCUAGCUGGUGAGCAUCUGACUGUGCUGUUCAGUAAGGUUCCUGUUCAAGCAGUAAAGCCCUGAUUCCUCUCUGCAUCUCAAGAAUUUGACACUGAUGGAGACCCCUUCCCUGAAUUUAUGAUGGAAACAGAGACAGAGACUCACAUUGGAGCGCUGGACUAAGCUCCCAAGGUCCAGUUGAAGAGAAGAAGAAAGGAGAGUAUGUGCUGAAGGCAGAGCUUUUAAAUUGGAAAACAGCGUGGUCACAGCAUCCCUGGGUCCUGGCUUCUCCUCUCUCCACCUUUCAAAUGGUGGAAGUUAUGGAUUCUCUGGAAGAAAGAGUGGGGCAGAGCUGGACUCACUGGAUUUCCAUGGGGCUGAACAAGAUGACACAUGAACUCAUCAUCCUGCUGAGGAUGAUAUCAGACUCUGGCACUAUGGAUUUCCUUCUUUGCCUUCUCCUGAGAAGCUUUUGAUGAAGACACAGAGCACACACAUUACAUGGGUCUCACAAGCUUGCUCAUGAAAAUUUCAGACUCAGGCAUGGAUGAAGUGCUUCUCCCUAACUUCUGAGAAUUUCAUUGAAGACACACUCACCACACCUAGCUGCAACAGAGCAGACCUGAGAAAUUGCUGCUACCAAGAAACCAUGUGUCAUGCUGUUAUUUUGUUCGGGAAUUACUUCCCAAGCUAUCUCAGACUUUAUGUGGAUGCAGUUGCCCACACGUUGGGUGGCAUUUUUAAGGAAGGCCAUUCCUCCCGAGUCCUGCCCAGACUACUGAAGAAGCAGGAUGUGAUCUGUCCCACUGAAAAAGAAACAUGAACUCAUCAUCCUGCUGAAGAUGAUCUCAGACUCAGGCGUGAAGGAGGUCCUUCUCUGCCUUUUCCAGAGAAGCUUUUGAUAAAGACACAGAUCACACACCCAGCUGAUGGGCUGAUUUUUAGACUUGUAAUCUUCAUUUUGCAUCUAAAAUGUGUCAGUCAGCACCUGUUUUCACCUGUCACUUCAGUGAGGCUCUUGCCUGGCUCACAUAUGGUACAGUGGUGCGCAAACUGUACGAAGAGAGUAACAGUUGGAGACCCCAACAAGAUCAGGAGUUACAGUUGGAGGCCCAUCAGCAAGACUGAGAAGUAGGGGACCCCUGAGAGAUCGCCCUCGGAUGCUGGCCAGCAGGUACAUAUUGUUUCUACUGUGUGGAAAAUACAUUUGUUUACCCUUCCCUGUCUGCACACACCAGUAUUUGAGAUCAAGCAAGAACCUUCAUCUGGUGAUGGAUGGAGAUAGAGACAGAGACCCACACUGGAGCACUGGACUGAGCUCCCAAGGUCCCAAUGAGAAGCAGAUGGAGGGAGAACACGAGCAAGGAUGUCAGGACCAUGGGGGGUGCACCCACCCACUGAGACAGUGGGGCUGAUCUAUUGGGAGCUCACCAAAGCCAGCUGGACUAUGACUGGAACAGCAUGGGAUAAAACCGGAC